UACGGGGGGGGUAAGCGUUGUUCGGAUUUACUGGGCGUAAAGGGCGCGUAGGCGGUCGUGACAAGUCACUUGUGAAAUCUCCGGGCUUAACUCGGAACGGUCAAGUGAUACUGUCGGACUAGAGUACAGAAGGGGCAACUGGAAUUCUCGGUGUAGCGGUGAAAUGCGCAGAUAUCAGGAGGAACACCGGUGGCGAAGGCGGUGAUCUGGGCCAGUACUGACGCUGAGGAGCGAAAGCGUGGGGAGCAAACAGG
rnacentral:rRNA from 1 species